rnacentral:tRNA from 1 species
CAGGGAAUAGUUUACACCGAACAUUAG